UACGGGGGGGGCAAGCGUUGUUCGGAAUUACUGGGCGUAAAGGGCUCGUAGGCGGCCAACUAAGUCGGAUGUGAAAUCCCCAGGCUUAACCUGGGAACUGCAUCCGAUACUGGAUGGCUUGAAUUCGGGAGAGGGAUGCAGAAUUCCAGGUGUAGCGGUGAAAUGCGUAGAUAUCUGGAGGAACACCGGUGGCGAAGGCGGCUUUCUGGACAAAUACCGACGCUGAGGCACGAAAGCUAGGGGAGCAAACAGG
rnacentral:rRNA from 1 species